rnacentral:misc_RNA from 1 species
UUUCCGUAGGUGAACCUGCGGAAGGAUCAUUACUGAGUGAGGGCCCUUCGGGGUCCAACCUCCCACCCGUGUUUAACGAACCUUGUUGCUUCGGCGGGCCCGCCUCACGGUCGCCGGGGGGCAUCUGCCCCCGGGCCCGCGCCCGCCGAAGCCACCUGUGAACGCUGUCUGAAGUAUGCAGUCUGAGACAAUUAUUAAAUUAAUUAAAACUUUCAACAACGGAUCUCUUGGUUCCG